rnacentral:rRNA from 1 species
GACGAACGCUGGCGGCGUGCUUAACACAUGCAAGUCGAACGGAAAGGCCCUGCUUUUGUGGGGUGCUCGAGUGGCGAACGGGUGAGUAACACGUGAGUAACCUGCCCUUGACUUUGGGAUAACUUCAGGAAGCUGGGGCUAAUACCGGAUAGGAGCUCCUGCUGCAUGGUGGGGUUGGAAAGUUUCGGCGGUUGGGGAUGGACUCGCGGCUUAUCAGCUUGUUGGUGGGGUAGUGGCUUACCAAGGCUUUGACGGGUAGCCGGCCUGAGAGGGUGACCGGCCACAUUGGGACUGAGAUACGGCCCAGACUCCUACGGGAGGCAGCAGUGGGGAAUAUUGCACAAUGGGCGGAAGCCUGAUGCAGCAACGCCGCGUGCGGGAUGACGGCCUUCGGGUUGUAAACCGCUUUCGCCUGUGACGAAGCGUGAGUGACGGUAAUGGGUAAAGAAGCACCGGCUAACUACGUG